UUAUUAAAAAAAAAAUAAAUAUCAAAAAUUCAAUAUUUACCGAAAAAUGGACCCUCCUACGAAUCCUGACCACCCUCGUCCUGGUCACAAUGAUAUUUUGCUGCGGGAAAUAUAUAACUCCUAAGUUUGGCUUGAAAAAAAAAAAAGAAAAAUAAGAAAAAAUGUCAAGAUUUUCAAGAAAUAAAAUUGAACAAAAAUCAAAAUAGGAACUUACCAGGACAUGUGGCCCAUCCCCAAUUAUUUCGAUGGGCUGUAAUGGUAUCGGCAUGUCAGCUUACCAAAUAAUUGGGCCUCCCAAACCAGGUCCUUGGAUUGGACCACUCCCUGCCGCGGAACUAAAUUAAAAAUCAAAUAUAAUUAAAAACCAUUGUUUCAACAAUACAAAUAAUUAAACUUACAUGUCUUAUAAAAGCUCUGUCCAUUAAAUUUUCCAUUAUAUAAAUUCUUUUAUUUCGA